CCUGGCCCCCGCCCGCGGCCACCCCGGAGGAAUUCCGCUCUUGCACUAAAGCCUCAAACUGUUUCAAACCAAGUAGGAGAUUAACUCCCAGCAAGGUACACACUGACGUCACCCUUAGCCUCCAGCCAGCAAUCUGCCCCCGACCUCAGCAUCACCAUCAGCAUCAAAACAGCAUCAGCCAUGGCAGGCUUCAAGACAGCUGGCCUUGCAGAACUCUGACCAAGAUAAGGAGUCCCAAAGUCAGUGCUGCCAAAGACAAUAGAGGGGAACGCCACAUAAAUAUAUGAGGUGUGAAUGUUGCAGAGUUUAACAAGAUAUGGGACUAACUUGAGGCACUUCCUCUCCACUCUCACAAAAUGCAUUAAACAAAAACAUGCCUCACCAGUUAUGGAACUCAAGUGUUUACACCUUCUCCUCAUCCUUUGUCCAUGAGAUUCCUGCUUAGGAUUUAGUCUUGCACUCUCUUCUACGUAGGUAGAUCUCUAUACUUCUACAGAAUGCAAUAUGGUCUUUUUGAGAAGAAUGAGAUUACUCGUAAGCUCUAAAUUGAGCAUAUUCCUAAAUAGUUGCAUACACAAGGAUCCUCCGGACUGGGAUCUUGGCUGGAAUUUUCAAGAGGGGCUAGAGGAACAAAAUUCAGAAGAUGGUAAACUGCCUCCCUUAAUUUGAAAAUCCCAGUACUGUUGAAGCAAUACAAAUAAUAAAUUAUAUUAAAUGAA